rnacentral:rRNA from 1 species
UACGGGAGGCAGCAGUGGGGAAUAUUGCACAAUGGGCGCAAGCCUGAUGCAGCCAUGCCGCGUGUAUGAAGAAGGCCUUCGGGUUGUAAAGUACUUUCAGUCGUGAGGAAGGUGUUAAGGUUAAUAACCUUAGCAAUUGACGUUAGCGACAGAAGAAGCACCGGCUAACUCCGUGCCAGCAGCCGCGGUAAUACGGAGGGUGCGAGCGUUAAUCGGAAUUACUGGGCGUAAAGGGCACGCAGGCGGUUAAUUAAGUUGGAUGUGAAAUCCCCGGGCUUAACCUGGGAAUGGCAUUCAAGACUGGUUAGCUAGAGUCUUGUAGAGGGGGUAGAAUUCCAUGUGUAGCGGUGAAAUGCGUAGAGAUGUGGAGGAAUCCGGUGGCGAAGGCGGCCCCUGGACAAAGACUGACGCUCAUGUGCGAAAGCGUGGGGAGCAAACAGGGAUUAGAUACC